GAUUGAAGAACGUAGCGAAAUGCGAUACGUAAUGUGAAUUGCAAAUUCAGUGAAUCAUCGAGUCUUUGAACGCACAUUGCGCCCCCUGGUAUUCCGGGGGGCAUGCCUGUCCGAGCGUCAUUGCUGCCCUCAAGCACGGCUUGUGUGUUGGGCCCCGUCCUCCGAUCCCGGGGGACGGGCCCGAAAGGCAGCGGCGGCACCGCGUCCGGUCCUCGAGCGUAUGGGGCUUUGUCACCCGCUCUGUAGGCCCGGCCGGCGCUUGCCGAUCAACCCAAAUUUUUAUCCAGGUUGACCUCGGAUCAGGUAGGGAUACCCGCUGAACUUAAGCAUAUCAAUAAGCGGAGA
rnacentral:misc_RNA from 1 species